UACGUAGGGUGCAAGCGUUAAUCGGAAUUAUUGGGCGUAAAGCGUGCGCAGGCGGUUUUGUAAGUCUGUCGUGAAAGCCCCGGGCUCAACCUGGGAAUUGCGAUGGAGACUGCAAGGCUAGAAUCUGGCAGAGGGGGGUAGAAUUCCACGUGUAGCAGUGAAAUGCGUAGAGAUGUGGAGGAACACCGAUGGCGAAGGCAGCCCCCUGGGUCAAGAUUGACGCUCAUGCACGAAAGCGUGGGGAGCAAACAGG
rnacentral:rRNA from 1 species